rnacentral:rRNA from 1 species
UACGUAGGGACCAAGCGUUGUUCGGAUUUACUGGGCGUAAAGGGCGCGUAGGCGGCGCGGCAAGUCACUUGUGAAAUCUCUGAGCUUAACUCAGAACGGCCAAGUGAUACUGCAGUGCUAGAGUGUGGAAGGGGCAAUCGGAAUUCUUGGUGUAGCGGUGAAAUGCGUAGAUAUCAAGAGGAACACCUGAGGUGAAGACGGGUUGCUGGGCCAACACUGACGCUGAUGCGCGAAAGCCAGGGGAGCAAACGGG